rnacentral:ncRNA from 1 species
AAUAAUCUGCCACCGGGUAGGAAUGCUGAACGCAUUCGUUUGCGCGCCGUUAGGUCUUAGAAGGCGCGCAAACGGAUGCGUUUUUGUU